AGAGUUUGAUCAUGGCUCAGAGCGAACGCUGGCGGCAGGCCUAACACAUGCAAGUCGAACGGACCUUUCGGGGUUAGUGGCGGACGGGUGAGUAACACGUGGGAACGUGCCUUUAGGUUCGGAAUAAGCUCGGGAAACUGGGUCUAAUACCGAAUGUGCCCUUCGGGGGAAAGAUUUAUCGCCUUUAGAGCGGCCCGCGUCUGAUUAGCUAGUUGGUGGUGUAAUGGACCCCCAAGGCGACGAUCAGUAGCUGGUCUGAGAGGAUGACCAGCCACAUUGGGACUGAGACACGGCCCAAACUCCUACGGGAGGCAGCAGUGGGGAAUCUUGCGCAAUGGGCGAAAGCCUGACGCA
rnacentral:rRNA from 1 species